AACACCAUGUCGGAUAAUCGGGAUACUUUGAUGUAGUAUAAAAUGUAGGUGAAAGCCCUUCUGGUGUUA
rnacentral:tRNA from 1 species